CCGGAACGAACAGACGGUCGUUGCCAUACAGCAAAUUUAUAACGAACAUCACGUUUCAAUUUCUUUGCAACGUCACCGCGCAUCACCAUCGGCAUCGCUUUUUCCGUAGUGCAAUAAAAGCUACAAGAUAUCAACAGUAUAAAGGAAUUAUACGAAAAUAAUGCAUCAUCAUUCUUAGUUACGACGUUUGAAGUAUUGAAUUUAUUAUCAGCUUUAACUGCACUUGCGAAUAAUUCUGAUGGACAAUCGAAUCCAAGAAGUUUUGGCAAAGAAAAUUUUUGCAGAGAUAGUCUUAUGCAAAAAAGUUUUAUGAACAGGAAGUUGAUAAACAAGAGAAAUCUGAAAUGAAUAAACAGAAAAAUCUUCCAAACUAUAUAAAAAUAGGAAAUGCAUAUGCGAGACUUAUAAAAAAUACUGUAUCUGAAAUAAUCGAAAAACAUUAUUCUAUCAAUAAUUCCAUAAAUAAUAAA